CGAACGCUGGCGGCGUGCCUAAUACAUGCAAGUCGAGCGAGCGGAACUAACAGAUUUACUUCGGUAAUGACGUUAGGAAAGCGAGCGGCGGAUGGGUGAGUAACACGUGGGGAACCUGCCCCAUAGUCUGGGAUACCACUUGGAAACAGGUGCUAAUACCGGAUAAGAAAGCAGAUCGCAUGAUCAGCUUUUAAAAGGCGGCGUAAGCUGUCGCUAUGGGAUGGCCCCGCGGUGCAUUAGCUAGUUGGUAAGGUAAAGGCUUACCAAGGCGAUGAUGCAUAGCCGAGUUGAGAGACUGAUCGGCCACAUUGGGACUGAGACACGGCCCAAACUCCUACGGGAGGCAGCAGUAGGGAAUCUUCCACAAUGGACGCAAGUCUGAUGGAGCAACGCCGCGUGAGUGAAGAAGGUUUUCGGAUCGUAAAGCUCUGUUGUUGGUGAAGAAGGAUAGAGGUAGUAACUGGCCUUUAUUUGACGGUAAUCAACCAGAAAGUCACGGCUAACUACGUGCCAGCAGCCGCGGUAAUACGUAGGUGGCAAGCGUUGUCCGGAUUUAUUGGGCGUAAAGCGAGCGCAGGCGGAAGAAUAAGUCUGAUGUGAAAGCCCUCGGCUUAACCGAGGAACUGCAUCGGAAACUGUUUUUCUUGAGUGCAGAAGAGGAGAGUGGAACUCCAUGUGUAGCGGUGGAAUGCGUAGAUAUAUGGAAGAACACCAGUGGCGAAGGCGGCUCUCUGGUCUGCAACUGACGCUGAGGCUCGAAAGCAUGGGUAGCGAACAGGAUUAGAUACCCUGGUAGUCCAUGCCGUAAACGAUGAGUGCUAAGUGUUGGGAGGUUUCCGCCUCUCAGUGCUGCAGCUAACGCAUUAAGCACUCCGCCUGGGGAGUACGACCGCAAGGUUGAAACUCAAAGGAAUUGACGGGGGCCCGCACAAGCGGUGGAGCAUGUGGUUUAAUUCGAAGCAACGCGAAGAACCUUACCAGGUCUUGACAUUUAGUGUCAUUUGUAGAGAUACAAAGUUCCCUUCGGGGACGCUAAGACAGGUGAUGCAUGGCUGUCGUCAGCUCGUGUCGUGAGAUGUUGGGUUAAGUCCCGCAACGAGCGCAACCCUUGUUAUUAGUUGCCAGCAUUAAGUUGGGCACUCUAAUGAGACUGCCGGUGACAAACCGGAGGAAGGUGGGGAUGACGUCAAGUCAUCAUGCCCCUUAUGACCUGGGCUACACACGUGCUACAAUGGGCAGUACAACGAGAAGCGAGCCUGCGAAGGCAAGCGAAUCUCUGAAAGCUGUUCUCAGUUCGGACUGCAGUCUGCAACUCGACUGCACGAAGCUGGAAUCGCUAGUAAUCGCGGAUCAGCACGCCGCGGUGAAUACGUUCCCGGGCCUUGUACACACCGCCCGUCACACCAUGGGAGUCUGCAAUGCCCAAAGCCGGUGGCCUAACCUUCGGGAAGGAGCCGUCUAAGGCAGGGCAGAUGACUGG
rnacentral:rRNA from 1 species